rnacentral:rRNA from 1 species
ACGAACGCUGGCGGCAUGCCUAACACAUGCAAGUCGAACGAGACCUUCGGGUCUAGUGGCGCACGGGUGCGUAACGCGUGGGAACCUGCCCUUAGGUUCGGAAUAACUCCCCGAAAGGGGUGCUAAUACCGGAUAAUGUCUUCGGACCAAAGAUUUAUCGCCUUUGGAUGGGCCCGCGUUGGAUUAGCUAGUUGGUAGGGUAAAAGCCUACCAAGGCGACGAUCCAUAGCUGGUCUGAGAGGAUGAUCAGCCACACUGGGACUGAGACGCGGCCCAGACUCCUACGGGAGGCAGCAGUGGGGAAUAUUGGACAAUGGGCGAAAGCCUGAUCCAGCAAUGCCGCGUGAGUGAUGAAGGCCUUAGGGUUGUAAAGCUCUUUUACCCGGGAUGAUAAUGACAGUACCGGGAGAAUAAGCGCCGGCUAACUCCGUG